CGGAACCGGGGUAGGAGGUAAUAGCGUGACCAACCUGCCCCAUGCUCCAGAAUAGCUCUUGGAAACGGGUGGUAAUGCUGGAUGCUCCAACUUGACGCAUGUCUUGUUGGGAAAGUGUUUAGUGGCAUGGGAUGGGGUCGCGUCCUAUCAGCUUGUAGGCGGGGUAAUGGCCCACCUAGGCUUCGACGGGUAGCCGGCCUGAGAGGGCGGACGGCCACAUUGGGACUGAGAUACGGCCCAGACUCCUACGGGAGGCAGCAGCC
rnacentral:rRNA from 1 species